ACCCCGGUUGAUCCUGCCGGACCCGACUGCUAUGGGGGUGGGACUAAGCCAUGCGAGUCAGCACCCCAGGCCACGUUGGGGUGCGGCGUACGGCUCAGUAAAACGUGGCUAACCUACCCUAGGGAUGGGGAUAACCCCGGGAAACUGGGGAUAACCCCCAAUAGGAGAAGAGUGCUGGAAUGCCUCUUCUCCGAAAGGAUGCCAAGAACAUGCCUCUUGGCAUCGCCCUAGGAUGGGGCCACGUCCCAUCAGGUAGUUGGUGGGGUAACGGCCCACCAAGCCUAUAACGGGUACGGGCCGUGAAAGCGGGAGCCCGGAGAUGGGCACUGAGACAAGGGCCCAGGCCCUACGGGGCGCAGCAGGCGCGAAACCUACACAAUGUGCGAAAGCACGAUGUGGUCACCCCCAGUGCCACCCGCUGAGGGUGGCUUUUCUCCGGUGUAAAAAGCCGGAGGCAAUAAGCGGGGGGCAAGUCUGGUGUCAGCCGCCGCGGUAAUACCAGCUCCGCGAGUGGUCGGGGCGUUUAUUGGGCCUAAAGCGUCCGUAGCCGGCCCGGUAAGUUUUCAGCUAAAGCCCAGGGCUCAACCCUGGGAAGGCUGAAAAUACUGCCGGGCUAGGGGGCGGGAGAGGCUGAGGGUACUCCUGGGGUAGGGGCGAAAUCCUAUAAUCCCAGGAGGACCACCAGUGGCGAAGGCGCUCAGCUGGAACGCGCCCGACGGUGAGGGACGAAAGCCGGGGGAGCGAAGGGG
rnacentral:rRNA from 1 species